GCCUCCGGAAGUGCAUUCAGUCGCGACGACACCAGCAAAGAGCUGACACUCGUCGAGCCCAAGUGGACUACGCCUAAUCGCGACACAGUCGCAGGACUCGCGCCGGCAAGUUUAACCAAGCUUCAAACCCACGCCAUUGGGCAAAGUCAGUAAUCGAUUGUCGUCUAAGGCAGAAUUUAGAGCUUCUGCCCAAUCUGGUUCUACGUCGCCGUUCAAAAUAAUCCAAGUUAAGGAAUCUCCAGCGGAUACAACAACGUUGGAUAACAAACCUUCCCUCCAUUCCCUGAAAUAAUAACGAAUUAAAGAGAUGGCUGUUUUUGUCGAGAUUAAUCUGUAAAAGAACGAUAUGAUAAAUUACACAAGUCAUUUCACAUUAAUUAUACCUACAAAUCGAAAUAUUUUCCGUAUAGUUUUCUAAUUAAAUCUAUCGAAAGAAUCGUAAAUCGUACAAAAUUUUAUCUGAGAAUGUAUAAUUUUUAUAAUAAGUUAUCAUUUUAUUUCUUUUACAUUGAAGUAUAUUAAUACAAAUUACUAUAAAAAUAUAUCGAUAAAUUUACCGCAUGUUUAUGUAAUAAAUCACUGUAUUAUAUACAGUAAUUAUAUACGUAUAUAACAAA